UGCAGUGUAGCGAUUUAUGGCAAAGCCCCAAGCUCAUAACUUGGUAUAUGCGAGUUCAACUCUCGCCACUGCUACCA
rnacentral:tRNA from 1 species